GGGGGGCUGGCGCAACGGUAGCGCGUUAGAUUCCAGUGUUCUUAGGGUUCCCUUGAUUGCACGGUGAUUCCUAAAGGCUAAGAGUUCAAAUCUCUUGUCCCUCA